rnacentral:rRNA from 1 species
AGUGAACGCUGGCGGUAGGCCUAACACAUGCAAGUCGAACGGCAGCACAGUAAGAGCUUGCUCUUACGGGUGGCGAGUGGCGGACGGGUGAGGAAUACAUCGGAAUCUACUUUUUCGUGGGGGAUAACGUAGGGAAACUUACGCUAAUACCGCAUACGACCUACGGGUGAAAGCAGGGGAUCUUCGGACCUUGCGCGAUUGAAUGAGCCGAUGUCGGAUUAGCUAGUUGGCGGGGUAAAGGCCCACCAAGGUGACGAUCCGUAGCUGGUCUGAGAGGAUGAUCAGCCACACUGUAACUGAGACACGGUCCAGACUCCUACGGGAGGCAGCAGUGGGGAAUAUUGGACAAUGGGCGCAAGCCUGAUCCAUCCAUACCGCGUGGGUGAAGAAGGCCUUCGGGUUGUAAAGCCCUUUUGUUGGGAAAGAAAAGCAGCAGGUUAAUACCCCGCUGUUCUGACGGUACCCAAAGAAUAAGCACCGGCUAACUUCGUG